rnacentral:rRNA from 1 species
CCUACGGGUGGCAGCAGUGGGGAAUAUUGGACAAUGGGCGAAAGCCUGAUCCAGCCAUGCCGCGUGUGUGAAGAAGGCCUUCGGGUUGUAAAGCACUUUCAGUGGGGAAGAAAGCCUUGGGGCUAAUACCCUCGAGGAAGGACAUCACCUACAGAAGAAGCACCGGCUAACUCCGUGCCAGCAGCCGCGGUAAUACGGAGGGUGCGAGCGUUAAUCGGAAUUACUGGGCGUAAAGCGCGCGUAGGCGGUCUGAUAAGCCGGUUGUGAAAGCCCCGGGCUCAACCUGGGAACGGCAUCCGGAACUGUCAGGCUAGAGUGCAGGAGAGGAAGGUAGAAUUCCCGGUGUAGCGGUGAAAUGCGUAGAGAUCGGGAGGAAUACCAGUGGCGAAGGCGGCCUUCUGGACUGACACUGACGCUGAGGUGCGAAAGCGUGGGUAGCAAACAGGAUUAGAUACCCGGGUAGUC